CGGAGGGAGCUAGCGUUGUUCGGAAUUACUGGGCGUAAAGCGCGCGUAGGCGGCUGUUCAAGUCAGAGGUGAAAGCCCGGGGCUCAACCCCGGAACUGCCUUUGAAACUAGAUAGCUAGAAUCAUGGAGAGGUCAGUGGAAUUCCGAGUGUAGAGGUGAAAUUCGUAGAUAUUCGGAAGAACACCAGUGGCGAAGGCGACUGACUGGACAUGUAUUGACGCUGAGGUGCGAAAGCGUGGGAGCAAACAGGAUU
rnacentral:rRNA from 1 species